rnacentral:rRNA from 1 species
GGGCUCCUACGGGACGCAGCAGUGGGGAAUAUUGCACAAUGGGGGGAACCCUGACGCAGCGACGCCGCGUGAAGGAAGAAGUAUUUCGGUAUGUAAACUUCUAUCAGCAGGGAAGAAAAAGGACGGUACCUGACUAAGAAGCCCCGGCUAACUACGUGCCAGCAGCCACGGUAAUACGUAGGGGGCGAGCGUUAUCCGGAUUUACUGGGUGUAAAGGGGGCGCAGACGGCCAUGGCAAGCCCGGUGUGAAAGGUGCGGGCACAACCCGCAGACUGCACUGGUAACUGCCUGGCUGGAGGGCCGGG